AGAGUUUGAUCCUGGCUCAGGAUGAACGCUAGCUACAGGCUUAACACAUGCAAGUCGAGGGGCAGCGGGGUUGAAGCUUGCUUCAACCGCCGGCGACCGGCGCACGGGUGAGUAACACGUAUCCAACCUGCCGAUAACUCCGGGAUAGCCUUUCGAAAGAAAGAUUAAUACCGGAUGGCAUAGUUUUCCCGCAUGGAAGAACUAUUAAAGAAUUUCGGUUAUCGAUGGGGAUGCGUUCCAUUAGGCAGUUGGCGGGGUAACGGCCCACCAAACCGACGAUGGAUAGGGGUUCUGAGAGGAAGGUCCCCCACAUUGGAACUGAGACACGGUCCAAACUCCUACGGGAGGCAGCAGUGAGGAAUAUUGGUCAAUGGACGAGAGUCUGAACCAGCCAAGUAGCGUGAAGGAUGACUGCCCUAUGGGUUGUAAACUUCUUUUAUACGGGAAUAAAGUUAGCCACGUGUGGUUUUUUGCAUGUACCGUAUGAAUAAGGAUCGGCUAACUCCGUGCCAGCAGCCGCGGUAAUACGGAGGAUCCGAGCGUUAUCCGGAUUUAUUGGGUUUAAAGGGAGCGUAGGCGGGGUAUUAAGUCAGUUGUGAAAGUUUGCGGCUCAACCGUAAAAUUGCAGUUGAUACUGGUAUCCUUGAGUGCAGCAGAGGUGGGCGGAAUUCGUGGUGUAGCGGUGAAAUGCUUAGAUAUCACGAAGAACUCCGAUUGCGAAGGCAGCUCACUGGAGUGUAACUGACGCUGAUGCUCGAAAGUGUGGGUAUCAAACAGGAUUAGAUACCCUGGUAGUCCACACAGUAAACGAUGAAUACUCGCUGUUGGCGAUACAAUGUCAGCGGCCAAGCGAAAGCAUUAAGUAUUCCACCUGGGGAGUACGCCGGCAACGGUGAAACUCAAAGGAAUUGACGGGGGCCCGCACAAGCGGAGGAACAUGUGGUUUAAUUCGAUGAUACGCGAGGAACCUUACCCGGGCUUGAAUUGCAACUGACGGAGCUGGAAACAGUUCUUUCUUCGGACAGUUGUGAAGGUGCUGCAUGGUUGUCGUCAGCUCGUGCCGUGAGGUGUCGGCUUAAGUGCCAUAACGAGCGCAACCCUUAUCGAUAGUUACCAUCAGGUUAUGCUGGGGACUCUAUCGAGACUGCCGUCGUAAGAUGUGAGGAAGGUGGGGAUGACGUCAAAUCAGCACGGCCCUUACGUCCGGGGCUACACACGUGUUACAAUGGGGGGUACAGAAGGCAGCUACACGGCGACGUGAUGCUAAUCCCCAAAACCUCUCUCAGUUCGGAUUGGAGUCUGCAACCCGACUCCAUGAAGCUGGAUUCGCUAGUAAUCGCGCAUCAGCCACGGCGCGGUGAAUACGUUCCCGGGCCUUGUACACACCGCCCGUCAAGCCAUGAAAGCCGGGGGUACCUGAAGUACGUAACCGCAAGGAGCGUCCUAGGGUAAAACUGGUGAUUGGGGCUAAGUCGUAACAAGGUAGCCGUACCGGAAGGUGCGGCUG
rnacentral:rRNA from 1 species